UACAGGGGGGGCAAGCGUUGUUCGGAAUUACUGGGCGUAAAGCGUGCGCAGGCGGCUUCGCAAGUCAGACGUGAAAUCCCCGGGCUUAACCUGGGAAUGGCGUUUGAAACUACGGAGCUGGAGUGUGGCAGGGGGAGGUAGAAUUCCACGUGUAGCGGUGAAAUGCGUAGAUAUGUGGAGGAAUACCGAUGGCGAAGGCAGCCUCCUGGGCCAACACUGACGCUCAUGCACGAAAGCGUGGGGAGCAAACAGG
rnacentral:rRNA from 1 species